AGUCACUGACAUUAGAUACCCCUGUAGUCCAGGGUGUAAACGCUGCAGACUUGGUGUUGGAAGUCCUUUGGGGCAUUCAGUGCCGGAGAGAAGUUGUUAAGUCUGCUACUUGGGGAGUACGUCCGCAAGGAUGAAACUUAAAGGAAUUGGGCGGGGGAGCACCGCAACGGGAGGAGCGUGCGGUUUUAAUUGGAUUCAACACCGUAAACUCACCAGGGAAGACUGUUACAUGAAAGCCGAGAUGAAGACUCUGCUAGAUUUUUCAG
rnacentral:rRNA from 1 species